rnacentral:rRNA from 1 species
UCCUACGGGAGGCAGCAGUAGGGAAUCUUCCGCAAUGGACGAAAGUCUGACGGAGCAACGCCGCGUGAGUGAUGAAGGUUUUCGGAUCGUAAAACUCUGUUGUUAGGGAAGAACAAGUUGGGUAGUAACUGACCCAACCUUGACGGUACCUAACCAGAAAGCCACGGCUAACUACGUGCCAGCAGCCGCGGUAAUACGUAGGUGGCAAGCGUUGUCCGGAAUUAUUGGGCGUAAAGCGCUCGCAGGCGGUCUUUUAAGUCUGAUGUGAAAGCCCACGGCUUAACCGUGGAGGGUCAUUGGAAACUGGAGGACUUGAGUACAGAAGAGGAGAGUGGAAUUCCACGUGUAGCGGUGAAAUGCGUAGAGAUAUGGAGGAACACCAGUGGCGAAGGCGACUUUCUGGUCUGUAACUGACACUGAGGCGCGAAAGCGUGGGGAGCAAACAGGAUUAGAUACCCUGGUAGUCCUGGCCGUAAACGAUGAACACUAGGUGUCGGGGGAAUCGACCCCCUCGGUGUCGUAGCCAACGCGUUAAGUGUUCCGCCUGGGGAGUACGCACGCAAGUGUGAAACUCAAAGGAA